AGAGUUUGAUCCUGGCUCAGAUUGAACGCUGGCGGCAGGCCUAACACAUGCAAGUCGAACGGUAACAGGAAUCAGCUUGCUGAUUUGCUGACGAGUGGCGGACGGGUGAGUAAUGUCUGGGAAACUGCCUGAUGGAGGGGGAUAACUACUGGAAACGGUAGCUAAUACCGCAUAAUGUCGCAAGACCAAAGAAGGGGACCUUCGGGCCUCUUGCCAUCGGAUGUGCCCAGAUGGGAUUAGCUAGUAGGUGGGGUAACGGCUCACCUAGGCGACGAUCCCUAGCUGGUCUGAGAGGAUGACCAGCCACACUGGAACUGAGACACGGUCCAGACUCCUACGGGAGGCAGCAGUGGGGAAUAUUGCACAAUGGGCGCAAGCCUGAUGCAGCCAUGCCGCGUGUAUGAAGAAGGCCUUCGGGUUGUAAAGUACUUUCAGCGGGGAGGAAGGGAGUAAAGUUAAUACCUUUGCUCAUUGACGUUACCCGCAGAAGAAGCACCGCCGG
rnacentral:rRNA from 1 species